CCUACGGGGGGCAGCAGUGAGGAAUAUUGGUCAAUGGCCGUAAGGCUGAACCAGCCAAGUAGCGUGAGGGAAGACUGCCCUAUGGGUUGUAAACCUCUUUUAUGCGGGGAUAAAGGUGUCCACGUGUGGAUGUUUGCAGGUACCGCAUGAAUAAGGACCGGCUAAUUCCGUGCCAGCAGCCGCGGUAAUACGGAAGGUCCGGGCGUUAUCCGGAUUUAUUGGGUUUAAAGGGAGCGUAGGCCGGUCUUUAAGCGUGCCGUGAAAUUUUGUGGCUCAACCAUGAGAGUGCGGCGCGAACUGGAGAC
rnacentral:rRNA from 1 species